rnacentral:rRNA from 1 species
UCGGAAUCACUGGGCUUAAAGGGCGCGUAGGCGGAUUUGUAAGUCAGGGGUGAAAUCCCGGGGCUCAACCUCGGAACUGCCUUUGAUACUGCAAAUCUCGAGUCCGGAAGAGGUGAGUGGAAUUCCUAGUGUAGAGGUGAAAUUCGUAGAUAUUAGGAAGAACACCAGUGGCGAAGGCGGCUCACUGGUCCGGUACUGACGCUGAGGUGCGAAAGCCAGGGGAGCAAACGGG